GACCAAGUGACGCAGUGGUCACCGUGCGUGCCUGCUAAACCGUUUAGAGAGCACGUCUCCUCUGGAGGCGCAGGUUCGAAUCCUGCCUUGGUCG